AUCAUUUUGGCAGAAAUUAUUGCAAAAGAUUUAGAAUCUUACAAACCUAAA
rnacentral:tRNA from 1 species